GUCUGCAACCCGACUACAUGAAGCUGGAAUCGCUAGUAAUCGCGAAUCAGAAUGUCGCGGUGAAUACGUUCCCGGGUCUUGUACACACCGCCCGUCACACCAUGGGAGUCGGAAAUGCCCGAAGUCAGUGACCCAACCGUAAGGAGGGAGCUGCCGAAGGUGGAGCCGGUAACUGGGGUGAAGUCGUAACAAGGUAUC
rnacentral:rRNA from 1 species